GCCCUUGUAGAGCAGUCAGGAGUGCUCGCUACCCUGUCAAGGUGGAGGCCGUCGGUUCAAAUCCGAUCAGGGACG
rnacentral:tRNA from 1 species